GUCCCCUUAGUUUAGUGGUAGAAUAUCUGACUACGAGGUAUUCAACUUGUUAUCAGGGGGUCGCGCGUUCGAGCCGCGCAGGGGAUU